rnacentral:piRNA from 1 species
UUGAUAUGUGGAGGACGAAGGGAA